UUGCUUUUACAGCCAAUAUACUAAACAAUACAGAGAACAAUACAGAGAAAUUUGGCAUGACUCCUACGCAUAGAUGACACACAGAUUUGUGAAGCAUUUUAUAUGUUU
rfam:Myotis lucifugus cont2.14957, whole genome shotgun sequence.